UACGAAGGGGGCUAGCGUUGUUCGGAAUCACUGGGCGUAAAGCGCACGUAGGCGGAUGUGUCAGUCAGGGGUGAAACUCCCGGGGCUCAACCUCGGAACUGCCUCUGAUACAGCACAUCUUGAGUCCGGAAGAGGUGGGUGGAAUUCCUAGUGUAGAGGUGAAAUUCGUAGAUAUUAGGAAGAACACCGGUGGCGAAGGCGGCCCACUGGUCCGGUACUGACGCUGAGGUGCGAAAGCGUGGGGAGCAAACAGG
rnacentral:rRNA from 1 species